CAUGUACUUCCCCCGUCGGGAAAUAAGUGUCACUCAAAUGGAUGUAUCUAGACGUAUUUCAGCGCUAGAUACAUCCGUUUGAACGACACUUAUUUCCGGACGGAGGGAGUACAUG
rfam:Triticum aestivum genome assembly, contig: Triticum_aestivum_CS42_TGACv1_scaffold_061840_1DL